AUGUACGAGCUAAGAAAGAAGUGGUCUGCAGCCUAUACCAAAGGGAGGUACUUCCUGGGCAUGAGAAGUAAUCAAAGGAGCGAAAGUCUAAAUUCUACGCUUCAUGUGCAGCUGGACAGGAGAAUGAGACUUAUUGAUUUGCUGCAACACCAUGAGCAUUGCAUCUCAGUUAUGCGAAGGAAUGAGGCUGCAAUGGAUGCCGUGGCCUCGCAGACGGUGCCCUUCACUGAAUUAACAGCUGACCCACUGGAGAAAAAUGCGUCAUAUAUCUACACCCCUAUAAUGUUCGAGAAGGUUAAGGGGGAGAUCGUGAGGUUAUCAAAAUGGCAAGUCGAGGAGGUGAACAAGGAAGAUAGUUUGACGAGGUUUGCAGUUGUUCAUAAAGAGUGCAGGCAAGUAAGAUUUGAUGUGAGGUGUGUUUAUGUGGGCUCGGUGAUAGCGAGUGUGUACUGCCAAUGCCGGAAGAUGGAGAGUGAGGAUAUUCCAUGCACACAUAUAUUUGCUAUUCUGAAGUGCGUUGGGUUAGACACCAUUCCUAGUUGUUGUGUUGCUAAAAGAUGGACGAUGAAAGCCAAGCCUGCCUUCGAUUCAGACAGGAGUGCCAGUACGCAGCAAUGGUCAGAACGGAUGGAUCGUUUCCAUGAGCUCCGUCACGAUGCAAGCGUUGCUUUUUUUAAGGCUUUGAAAUCCGCAGCGCAAUCAGAGAGGGUGAUGGCAUUUCUCAACAGUAUUAUUGAUGAGGGUGAGAAUGACGAGAAUACUAACAUAGCAUCAUUUGGUCCUUUGCCGGCAUAUUUUUCUGGGGCACGCCAAACCUUCACAACUAAAGUUCUGGAUCCAAUACCAAUUAUUCCAAAAGGUGCUCCAUCGAAGGGCAGGUUGAAGCCAUUCCAGGAGACUAUGAAGAAAAAGAAGCCCAAACAUGAGUAA
rnacentral:rRNA from 1 species